GUCUCCUGAGCAAUUGGUUGUCAUUGUCCUAAACAGAGCAGCUAGGUUAAAAAGAUUUAUCCAUAAUGUAACCUCCUGGCCCUCAGCUAUGGGUGGAAGCAGCACUUUCUGGUUUGACCUCCUAAUACCACAAACUCCACUUUGCCAGAAAAGUGACUUCUUGAUGAAUAGUCUGUUCAGAUAGGCCAAUUUGGAGUAUAUUCAUAUUUGGCCACCUGCUGGAGCGUCAAUGACCAAGAGGAGACCAGAUGAGUUUUCAAAGCAGUCCUCAAACACCCAGGACACACCUCAUCCUUUACCUCGUGCUUUCUGCAAUGUUGCUGUUCAUGUUCAUCUUCCUAUUAACAUUUGCCAUAAUAACCCCUCAUUGACCACCAUCAUUCCUCCAUCCACCACCAACUCAGCUCCUUCUCUAAAGUGCCCUCUAAUGGGCAGUGGCUUUGGUCUCUGUUUGGCAAAUUAUGUCCAGAGGGUUAACAUUAAUUUCUCUUUCUCCUAUUCCUCCCUCAUGCUAGAUUCAGUCCAUCACUCAGCCUCCUGUCAGGAAAACCAUAGCAAAUCCUACUUUCUGCUAAAAUGAAGUUACAAGACACUUUUCCAGAGUAGUCACACUCAAUGAAGGGACCCAGGGUGUAUCUGAGUGUGAUGUAAUUGAAACCACAUGGAAAGACUAGAAAUACCUUGCUCCCAGUCAGAUAUAGUGAAACAGCUUACUCAAGACUGGACUAAGAUUUAGAAUAUAGGGGGGCUAGGGAGGAGAAAGAGAAAGAUCCUCAGAAGUGGAUUGUCCCUGAAUACAGGAUGAAAUCAUCUAGAUUUUUUUCUCCAAUUAAAUUUGCAUUUCAUUCAACCACAUUGCAAUGGCUUCAUACUGGGCAUUUUCAUUUGAGACCCAAGGCUUUUCUUCAUGGGUCCUGAGCCACAGGUUCCUGGAUGGUGAGGUAAGCUAGCACUGAUGGAAGAUACCAGGUUUUCAAAUGUGAACUGAAGUCUCUCUUCUCAUGACAAGAUUCAGAUCCAAUUCAUUAUUUAACUAAUAGCCUCUCCAAUAAGUACAAAAAAUCUUGCCUAUCCAGCAGAUAUGUUAGUCCAUUAUUCCUCUAUGUCCCCCAGCCUAUACUUAUUAGACUAGGAAUUAAAGAAAUACAAUCCCCAUUCUUUACUCUUGGCCUACCAGAUAUAGUGAUCCAAGCUUAGUAGAUCAGCAGCUAAUUGCAAGGCUGCUUUAAUAGUGAAUGAAUAAAAAGUUCUGCUAAUUCAGACCUACCCAACACCCAUGAAUUUGUGAUUGAGCUAUCUCUCUGCCUGCUGAAUUCAGGUAGAUAAACAACUGUCCUUCAACCACAAGGUUAAGGCUAAACUUAUGCAGGUAUCUCUAAACAUGCUGCAGAUUGUUCUUUUCUCUCUGUGGCCAUGCUUCCCAACCCCUGACACCUUUCUAUUUAGCCUCUGCUAAGCUCAAGUGUGCUGGAAUCCUGAUCCCUGCCCCAGCCUCAGCCCCCUAUCAUGUGCUUGCUUUAGCUCCCCUGUCUUUGCUGAGAUCCUCACCAUGAAACCAACUCUAGGUAUUCCUGAGUGACUCUCUAGGUUCUCAUUCUCUCCAAUGUGCCUUUUAUCAGCAAGGCAUGGGAAAACCUAUCAUCUGGUUCUCCAAGGUGUCCAGCAGUUAGAAUGGCUGAGAGGAGGGCAUUUGAGUUUGCCCAUCGAUAAUGGGGUUGUGCGAAAAGCAGAUAUUGUCUCAACUGUUCUGAAGUUGAACAAUGUUACUUUCAGGUGAAUAGACUGUUGAGACUAUUUUGAGUUGUUGAUGGCAACCAAAAAAAAAGGGGGAAGGGGUGGAAUUACAGUCACUUUCCUCCAGCAUCCAGUGGUCCUUAAAACUUUCACCCUCAAAUCUCCAAAUAUGCUGGCUUCUAAGAAGUGCUUUCCAAGACCGAAUAUACUUCUUGAUCAGGGUAAGUGAUGAAAAUGUGUAUUUAACAAGGGGAGGGGAUCUUGAAAUAGCCUGAAUUAUGCAUGCUGUGGCCUAUCUACCCCCACCGUGCUAAUGGCUCAGCCUAUAAAGUUUUCAGAAUCAGAAAAAUAAUCAGAGAUGCUAGUUUCUGAAGGAGCGACGGAGGACUAGGAUGACUAGCUAACUCAAGGUGCAUGUAGACUUUCUGCUGUUCUUACUUUAGGAAAGGUUUCUUGGAAGACUGGACCAGGGAGUUCCUAAUUCUUCCCUGGACCAUCUCAGGGGCAUCCUCGGUGUGAGUGGAAGCAUGCUUGGAUGCAGCAGCCUGAAUGAAUGUCAAGUUCACUGCAUCUCCACCACAAACUGGUUGGUUUCAGGCAAAUCCCUUGAGUUUUGGAUGAGGCUAAACCAGCUAGGGCUUUCCUUGAAAUAGGAUGGAGGGGUCUCUUCUCACAGGCAGAGAGCCUUAUUCAGGGGGCAUCUAUUCGCUAACAGGCUUCUUAGGAGGAAUAGAUCAGUCUCGUUAUUCAGAAAAUGUCUGAGAAAGUCCCAGACACCUCCAACUCCACAUGUUGGGGGAUAGACCUGGAAUAUUAAAGAUCAGAGGUUGGAAUCGAGGCAACAUGAUGGAGUGAUGUGGCAUGAGUAUUGGAGCCAUACAGAUAUGAAUUUGAUCUGAUCCUUAGUUUUGUAACUUCAAGUUCUAAGACUUUUAGACAAGCUGUUUAAACGUUAUGGUCUCCAUUUCCCUAGCUUUCAAAUGGGAAAAAUAAUAACUGUUUUGGGAGUGAUUUCUAUGCUCAACAAGCCUAAGGGGUAGGUACCAUUAUCAUAAUGACACCUAGAGAAUUGCCUUAAGGAUUAAAUAAAGCUUCUUAUGUAAAAGUGUCCGGCACAGUGUCUGGCAUAUAGUUGAAGCUGAAAAACUAUUGGUUUCUUCUCUCUCCCUCUUUUCCUUAGGCCAAAAUAGUUCUGCUCCCUGAUGAAGACACCUUUAGGAAAAGAGGAAUCCUUUUCCUAGACUUCCUCCCUGAGGGACUUCCCUUGGUUGAUAUCAUGGGAGCUGGACUGUUUUUCCUUCUCCAAAUCCAG
rnacentral:lncRNA from 1 species